GAUAGGUUAAGUUAAUAAGGGCGCAUGGUGGAUGCCUUGGCACUAGAAGGCGAUGAAGGACGUGACUAACUACGAUAUGCCUCGGUUAGCUGUAAGUAAGCUUACCCGGGGGUUUCCGAAUGGGGCAACCCGAUCUUAAUGAUCAUCAUCUUUUUGAAUUCAUAGAUUAGAUGAAGCAAACGCUGUGAACUGAAACAUCUCAGUAGCAGUAGGAAAGUAAAGAAAUUUCGAUUCCGUCAGUAGCGGCGAGCGAACGCGGAAGAGCCCAAACCUGGAUGCUUGCAUCCAGGGGUUGUAGGACUGAUGUUGAGUUACAAAGGUAUAAGAUAGCAGAAACAGUUGGGAAGCUGUUCCAAAGAGGGUGACAGGCCCGUAUGCGAAAUCUUGUACUCUCUAAUCAGGAUCCUGAGUACGGCCCAGCACGUGAAAUUGGGUCGGAAUCUGGGAGGACCAUCUCCCAAGGCUAAAUACUAACUAGUGACCGAUAGCGAACAAGUACCGUGAGGGAAAGGUGAAAAGAACCCCGGAAGGGGAGUGAAAUAGUUCUUGAAACCGUGUGCUUACAAGAAGUUCGAGGCCGUUAAUGGCUGAGAGCGUGCUUUUUGUAGAAUGAACCGGAGAGUUACGAUUGCGUGCAAGGUUAAGGUGCAAAGACUGGAGCCGUAGCGAAAGCGAGUCUUAAUAGGGCGAAUCAGUACGUAGUUGUAGACCCGAAACCGAGUGACCUAUCCAUGGUCAGGUUGAAGGUGGGGUAAUACCUACUGGAGGACCGAACAAGUGGGUGUUAAAAAACCCUUUGAUGAACUGUGGAUAGCGGUGAAAUUCCAAUCGAACUCGGAGAUAGCUGGUUCUAUCCGAAAUACAUUUAGGUGUAGCCUUGCAAUUAGCUUACUGGAGGU
rnacentral:rRNA from 1 species